rnacentral:rRNA from 1 species
AUGAUGACGAUGGUGACCGAUUCAUGGUCAUGCUCGCCCAGCGCACGAGUGUGGGGGGUGAAGGGAACUCGGCUAUGGGGGCGAGUGAGCCUCACAGGUAGGAUUCCCUCGUUGCACCGGCGGUUGACGAUGCCGGUAGGCCUUGUGCCGAGCCCUUCGGAGGGAGCUCGAGCAAGCCUCGCGAGGGGGGCAGUAGUGGCCGCCAGAAGCCGAAGAGACGCUGGGCUCCCACUGUUAGACAAGAAGGCCAAGAAGAAGAAGAAGAAGGAUGAGGCCCCCGCCUUGAAGGGGGCCACGACGCCCGCGGCGCCCCCGAUGGCGACACGGGAUGAGAGCCGCAGGGAGGCCGAACGCCGCCCCAAAGCAGAGGCGAGGCGCUAG